rnacentral:tRNA from 1 species
AAGUAGUUAGCUUAGAGGUAAAGUACCUGCCUUACAAGCAGAAGAUUAUUGGUUCGAAUCCAAUACUACUUA